rnacentral:rRNA from 1 species
AUGCAAGUCGAACGCAGUAGCAAUACUGAGUGGCAAACGGGUGAGUAUAAUGUGGGAAUCUGCCUUUUGGAUUGGAAUAACACGGGGAAACUUGUGCUAAUACCGAAUAAGCCCUUACGGGGAAAGUUUUAACGCCGAAAGAUGAGCCUGCACUUGAUUAGCUAGUUGGUAAGGUAAAGGCUUACCAAGGCAAUGAUCAAUAGCUGUUCUUAGAGGAAGACCAGCCACAUUGGGACUGAGACACGGCCCAGACUCCUACGGGAGGCAGCAGUGGGGAAUCUUGCACAAUGGGGGAAACCCUGAUGCAGCGAUGCCGCGUGAGUGAAGAAGGCCCUUGGGUUGUAAAACUCUUUCGUCGGGGAAGAAAAUAACUGUACCCGAAUAAGAAGGUCCGGCUAACUUCGUGCCAGCAGCCGCGGUAAUACGAAGGGACCUAGCGUAGUUCGGAAUUACUGGGCUUAAAGAGCUCGUAGGUGGUUAAAAAAGUUGAUGGUGAAAUCCCAAGGCUUAACCUUGGAACUGCCAUCAAAACUUUUUAGCUAGAGUGUGAUAGAGGUAAGUGGAAUUUCUAGUGUAGAGGUGAAAUUCGUAGAUAUUAGAAAGAACACCAAAUGCGAAGGCAACUUACUGGGUCACUACUGACACUGAGGAGCGAAAGCAUGGGUAGCGAAGAGGAUUAGAUACCCUCGUAGUCCAUGCCGUAAACGAUGUGUGCUAGACGUUGGAAAUUUAUUUUUCAGUGUCGCAGCGAAAGCAUUAAGCACACCGCCUGGGGAGUACGACCGCAAGGUUAAAACUCAAAUGAAUUGACGGGGACCCGCACAAGCAGUGGAGCAUGUGGUUUAAUUCGAAGAUACGCGCAGAACCUUACCAACACUUGACAUGUUCGUCGCGAGACUAAGAGAUAGUUUCUUCAGUUCGGCUGGACGAAACACAGGUGCUGCAUGGCUGUCGUCAGCUCGUG